UACGGAGGGUGCAAACGUUAAUCGGAAUUACUGGGCGUAAAGCGCACGUAGGCGGUCCGUUAAGUGGGGUGUGAAAGCCCUGGGAUCAACCUGGGAAUUGCAUUCCAAAAUGACGGGCUAGGGUGUGGUAGAGGGGGGUAGAAUUCCCUGUGUAGCGGUGAAAUGCGUAGAUAUAGGGAGGAAAACAUGUGGCGAAGGCGGCCCCCUGGACCAACACUGACGCUGAGGUGCGAAAGCGUGGGGAGCAAACAGG
rnacentral:rRNA from 1 species